GACGACCAACAGCGUCGGAGUGUCCUCACAGGCCGAGAACUGGCUGGAGGCGGAGUCAGAGUGUAGCAGGAGGGACUUCCUCUGAGCCGAGGGCAAUAUGCUGCUGACUUCCUGCUCUGACGCCUGUGGUCUCAAUCUGCUCUGGUGCCUCCUGAUCGUACUCAAAGCCCUGCCAGCAGCUCUCGGGGGUGACUUGUCUGAACCAUGUGGUGGGCGGGACUGCUCCACCUGUCAGUGUUUCCCAGCCAAGGGAGCAAGGGUGAGACUCCGCCCACUAACUGUAACACACACGAACAGCAGCAAACCACAGCGCAGCUGCACACUCUUCAGUGUCAACAAACCUCAGACUCCUUCAGUGGCAGCUCAGAACACACACACACACACACACACACACACACAGUGA
rnacentral:lncRNA from 1 species